rnacentral:rRNA from 1 species
AUUGAACGCUGGCGGCAGGCCUAACACAUGCAAGUCGAACGAGUGGCGGACGGGUGAGUAAUGUCUGGGAAACUGCCUGAUGGAGGGGGAUACCUACUGGAAACGGUAGCUAAUACCACAUCCCCUCGGAUGUGCCCAGAUGGGAUUCGCUAGUAGGUGGGGUAACGGCCCACCUAGGCGACGAUCCCUAGCUGGUCUGAGAGGAUGACCAGACAAAAUGGACCUGGAACACGGGCCAGACUCCUACGGGAGGCAGCAGUGGGGAAUAUUGCACAAUGGGCGCAAGCCUGAUGCAGCCAUGCCGCGUGUAUGAAGAAGGCCUUCGGGUUGUAAAGUACGUUCAGCGGGGAGGCGUUACCAGCAGAAGAAGCACCGGCUAACUACGUGCCAGCAGCCGCGGUAAUAC